CAGUAGCCGCGGUAAUACGGAGGGUGCAAGCGUUAAUCGGAAUUACUGGGCGUAAAGCGCACGCAGGCGGUCUGACAAGUCAGAUGUGAAAUCCCCGGGCUUAACCUGGGAACUGCAUUUGAAACUGUCAGGCUGGAGUCUUGUAGAGGGGGGUAGAAUUCCAGGUGUAGCGGUGAAAUGCGUAGAGAUCUGGAGGAAUACCGGUGGCGAAGGCGGCCCCCUGGACAAAGACUGACGCUCAGGUGCGAAAGCGUGGGGAGCAAACAGGAUUAGAUACCAGAGUAGUCCCUGUCUCUUAUAC
rnacentral:rRNA from 1 species